AAAAAAAAAAAAAAAAAAAAAAACUAGUAUGUAUGUUAUGAGAACCAACAAAUCACCUAAAAUUCAAUAUGCACAAUACAGUUGUACCUUGCAGUUCUUCAUGAUUAAUUCACUAUAAAUGAACGCAAAUGAAAAUCAGAGUUUAUAUCACCUAAAAUUUUUCCCUUGCCAUAACAAUAAAACCCACAUAUAUGCAAAAGAUGAAUUAAAGAUCCUUUUUCUUUCCUCCAUAAAGUAUAAUUUAACAAGGAAUAUAAAUUUUUUGCCUUAUUCUUCCACAAGGGUCUUCACAGACAGCAAUCACUGAGUCACAUGAUAGAAAUCCUGAGGUAUGCUGUUCCAAAACUUUAUUUUAUUCAACAGUUUCAGAUCAAGCUGCAGUCAAUUUUUAGGGGUCAAUCCUUUAUUAAACUGUUUGCUAAGAAUUACUGCUCCAACUAUAAAUGAAUGGCCACCAAUUACCCUUUUUCUAAUCAAUAACAUCCACUGAAGUAAUCCAGCAAUUGAAAAAGUACAAACCUUG
rnacentral:lncRNA from 1 species